GGUAGAAAAAAGAAAACAUAUGGAAUUGGUGUUCAUCUGCUGUCAAGGUGCAAUCAACUACUUGAGAGUAUAUCGACUAAGAGUGAUUCCACAUCUGUUAAUAUGGAUCGCGAAGGCUGUAGUAUUCGCGAGGUGAUGGCUGAGCUAUACUCAAUUCCUGGAGUUUCAAUUAGAGAUGAGUUCCACGACUUUGCUACAGAGUAUUUGAGUUUAAGAAGGAAAAGAGAAAUGUGGGCUAGUAUGGGUGAUAAGGAGCAAACGUUGAGAUGGCUGCAACGAAUGUAUGCACGCACUAAACGUGCUUAACUGACAUGAAUAAUGGGAUGCUGAUUUUAAAAAAGAGGUUUUUUUCAAUUGCCGAAGUUUAUCCGAGUCAUUGUAUUCUUCCACAUUUCGUGUAGAGAUAUAUGGGCAUUUCCAUUUGUGGUAAUUUGCGUACUGUUGUAUUUAUUUUAAACUGCUUUUCGGGAGCUAAUAUACUUGUAUGAGGAUAUUGCUGGUUUUUAAUGUUGUAUUUUAGUAAUGAAUUAAAACUAUCACUUCUGUUGUUAUUAA